rnacentral:hammerhead_ribozyme from 1 species
AUUCAGUUAACGAGUCCCACGUAGGACGAAACGCGCGUCCUGGAU